rnacentral:rRNA from 1 species
UACGUAGGGGGCAAGCGUUGUCCGGAAUCAUUGGGCGUAAAGAGCGUGUAGGCGGUCCGGUUAGUCGGCUGUGAAAGUCCAGGGCUCAACCCUGGGAUGCCGGUCGAUACUGCCGGACUAGAGUCCGGAAGAGGCAAGUGGAAUUCCCGGUGUAGCGGUGAAAUGCGCAGAUAUCCGGAGGAACACCGGUGGCGAAGGCGGCUUCCUGGACCGACACUGACGCUGAGGCGCGAAAGCUAGGGGAGCAAACGGG